AUCUAAGUACAUGUCGCAUUAAAGUGAAACCGCGAAUUGCUCAUUAAAUCAGUUAUGGUUUCUUGGAUUGUACCUAAUUACUUGGAUAACUAUGGCAAUUCGAGAGCUAAUACAUGCAGCAGAGCUCCGACCCUCUGGGGAUGAGCGCUUUUAUUAGACCAAAACCGAUCUCGUGUCCGUAUUAUGUGGUGACUCUAUAUAACUUUGGCCUGAUUGCACGGGCUCAAACUGGCGGCGUAUCUUUCAGUGUCUGCCUUAUCAAUUGUCAAUGAUUAGUUACGUGCCUACCAUGGUCAUAACGGGGGAUGGUGAA
rnacentral:ncRNA from 1 species